AUUGAACGCUGGCGGUAUGCUUAACACAUGCAAGUCGAACGAUGAGAAAGAGCUUGCUCUUUCGAUUAGUGGCGGACGGGUGCGUAACGCGUAGGAAUCUACCUAUUAGUGGGGGACAACUUAGGGAAACUUAAGCUAAUACCGCAUACGCCCUACGGGGGAAAGAAGGGGAUCGCAAGACCUUUUGCUAAUAGAUGAGCCUGCGUGGGAUUAGCUAGUUGGUGGGGUAAAAGCUCACCAAGGCGACGAUCCUUAACUGGUUUGAGAGAAUGAUCAGUCGCACUGGAACUGAGACACGGUCCAGACUCCUACGUGAGGCAGCAGUGGGGAAUAUUGGACGAUGGGCGAAAGCCUGAUCCAGCAAUACCGCGUGUGUGAAGAAGGCCUUAGAGUUGUGAAGCACUUUCAAUUGGAAGGAAAACCUCGAAGCUAAUACCUUCGAGUUUGACAUUACCUUUAGAAGGAGCACCGGCUAACUCCGUGCCAGCAGCCGCGGUAAUAC
rnacentral:rRNA from 1 species